rnacentral:rRNA from 1 species
AUUGAACGCUGGCGGCAGGCCUAACACAUGCAAGUCGAGCGGAUGACGGGAGCUUGCUCCUUGAUUCAGCGGCGGACGGGUGAGUAAUGCCUAGGAAUCUGCCUGGUAGUGGGGGACAACGUUUCGAAAGGAACGCUAAUACCGCAUACGUCCUACGGGAGAAAGCAGGGGACCUUCGGGCCUUGCGCUAUCAGAUGAGCCUAGGUCGGAUUAGCUAGUUGGUGGGGUAAUGGCUCACCAAGGCGACGAUCCGUAACUGGUCUGAGAGGAUGAUCAGGCACACUGGAACUGAGACACGGUCCAGACUCCUACGGGAGGCAGCAGUGGGGAAUAUUGGACAAUGGGCGAAAGCCUGAUCCAGCCAUGCCGCGUGUGUGAAGAAGGUCUUCGGAUUGUAAAGCACUUUAAGUUGGGAGGAAGGGCGGUAAGCUAAUACCUUGCUGUUUUGACGUUACCGACAGAAUAAGCACCGGCUAACUCUGUGCCAGCCGCCGCCGUAAAAC